rnacentral:rRNA from 1 species
ACACAUGCAAGUCGAACGGAAAGGCCCUGCUUUUGUGGGGUGCUCGAGUGGCGAACGGGUGAGUAACACGUGAGUAACCUGCCCUUGACUUUGGGAUAACUUCAGGAAACUGGGGCUAAUACCGGAUAGGAGCUCCUGCUGCAUGGUGGGGGUUGGAAAGUUUCGGCGGUUGGGGAUGGACUCGCGGCUUAUCAGCUUGUUGGUGGGGUAGUGGCUUACCAAGGCUUUGACGGGUAGCCGGCCUGAGAGGGUGACCGGCCACAUUGGGACUGAGAUACGGCCCAGACUCCUACGGGAGGCAGCAGUGGGGAAUAUUGCACAAUGGGCGGAAGCCUGAUGCAGCAACGCCGCGUGCGGGAUGACGGCCUUCGGGUUGUAAACCGCUUUCGCCUGUGACGAAGCGUGAGUGACGGUAAUGGGUAAAGAAGCACCGGCUAACUACGUGCCAGCAGCCGCGGUGAUACGUAGGGUGCGAGCGUUGUCCGGAUUUAUUGGGCGUAAAGGGCUCGUAGGUGGUUGAUCGCGUCGGAAGUGUAAUCUUGGGGCUUAACCCUGAGCGUGCUUUCGAUACGGGUUGACUUGAGGAAGGUAGGGGAGAAUGGAAUUCCUGGUGGAGCGGUGGAAUGCGCAGAUAUCAGGAGGAACACCAGUGGCGAAGGCGGUUCUCUGGGCCUUUCCUGACGCUGAGGAGCGAAAGCGUGGGGAGCGAACAGGCUUAGAUACCCUGGUAGUCCACGCUGUAAACGGUGGGUACUAGGUGUGGGGUCCAUUCCACGGGUUCCGUGCCGUAGCUAACGCUUUAAGUACCCCGCCUGGGGAGUACGGCCGCAAGGCUAAAACUCAAAGGAAUUGACGGGGCCCCGCACAAGCGGCGGAGCAUGCGGAUUAAUUCGAUGCAACGCGUAGAACCUUACCUGGGUUUGACAUGGAUCGGGAGUGCUCAGAGAUGGGUGUGCCUCUUUUGGGGUCGGUUCACAGGUGGUGCAUGGCUGUCGUCAUCUCGUGUCGUGAGAUGUUGGGUUAAGUCCCGCAACGAGCGCAACCCUUGUUCACUGUUGCCAGCACGUUAUGGUGGGGACUCAGUGGAGACCGCCGGGGUCAACUCGGAGGAAGGUGGGGAUGACGUCAAGUCAUCAUGCCCCUUAUGUCCAGGGCUUCACGCAUGCUACAAUGGCUGGUACAGAGAGUGGCGAGCCUGUGAGGGUGAGCGAAUCUCGGAAAGCCGGUCUCAGUUCGGAUUGGGGUCUGCAACUCGACCUCAUGAAGUCGGAGUCGCUAGUAAUCGCAGAUCAGCAACGCUGCGGUGAAUACGUUCCCGGCGC